GUCUUGAGGUGGGGGAUAACUCCGGGAAACUGGAGCUAAUACCGCAUGAUAACUGAGGUUCAAAGGUCGCAAGACCGCCUUGAGAGGGGCCUGCGUUCGAUUAGUUAGUUGGUGGGGUAAUGGCCUACCAAGACGAUGAUCGAUAGCUGGUUUGAGAGGAUGAUCAGCCACACUGGGACUGAGACACGGCCCAGACUCCUACGGGAGGCAGCAGUGGGGAAUAUUGGACAAUGGGGGCAACCCUGAUCCAGCAAUGCCGCGUGUGUGAAGAAGGUCUUCGGAUUGUAAAACACUUUCGUUGGGGACGAUGAUGACGGUACCCAAAGAAGAAGCCCCGGCUAACUUCGUGCCAGCAGCCGCGGUAAUACGAAGGGGGCGAGCGUUGCUCGGAAUAACUGGGCGUAAAGGGCGCGUAGGCGGCCGAUAGCUGUCAGAUGUGAAAUUUUUGGGCUCAACCUGAAAACUGCAUUUGAUACGUAUUGGCUAGAGUGCGAGAGAGGAUUGCGGAAUUCCCAGUGUAGAGGUGAAAUUCGCAGAUAUUGGGAAGAACACCAGUUGCGAANGCGGCAAUCUGGCUCGUUACUGACGCUGA
rnacentral:rRNA from 1 species